UUGUCAGAGAUCAGCUGUUCUUCUCUGGUUGGCGCUCUGAUGUUCAACCCGUCCCAUCUGACAUCACUGAACCUGAGCUGGAACUAUCUGACAGAUGCUGGAGUGAAGGAGCUCUGUGGUUUUCUUCAGAAUCGACGGUGCAAACUACAGAUAUUGAGCUUGUGGGAAUGCUGGUUGUCAAAGAUCAGCUGUGAUCAUCUGGUCUCGGCUCUGAGGUCCAACCCGUCCCAUCUGACAAUACUGGUACUGAGAAGAAACAACCUGAAGGCGUCAGAUGUUCAGCAGCUCCAGGAUCUUGUAAGGAGUCCGAACUACAAACUGGAAUCUGUGGAGUGGUUGGGAUCAUCUUGGUUUACAAGAGCAGCUGAGCUCUCCUGAUGAUCCAGAGGUUGAAGUUGCAGCAGUUUGCAUGUAGAGAGACUGACUGGAUCCUGAUGAUGAACUCUGAGUUUAGAGAUGUUGAUCCGAUUCAUCUAAUCAUGUCUGUAACUUGGUGUCUGAUAUUGUUUGUUUCUGUGGACCAAUGAGGAUAAUAUGAAAACUAAGCUGCAUUUAGUGGCUCCAUGUAGUUUUGAUCUGAAUUUGAUGAAACUGUAAAGUUUAUCUUUUUUCUUUUUGAUCCAUUUUCAG